rnacentral:rRNA from 1 species
GUUCAUGGUCAUACUACCCUGAACACACUCAAUCUCGUCUGAUCUUGGAAGCUAAGCAAGGUUGGGCCUGGUUAGUACUUGGAUGGGAGAAAGGGAAGGAAGGGGACCCAGAAAU